GACGUAGGGCGCGAGCGUUGUCCGGAUUUAUUGGGCGUAAAGAGCUCGUAGGCGGCUCAUCGCGUCUGCCGUGAAAACCCGCAGCUCAACUGCGGGCUUGCGGUUGAUACGGGUGGGCUGGAGUUCGGUAGGGGAGACUGGAAUUCCUGGUGUAGCGGUGAAAUGCGCAGAUAUCAGGAGGAACACCGAUGGCGAAGGCAGCUCGCUGGGACGGUACUGACGCUGAGGCGCGAAAGCGUGGGGAGCAAACAGG
rnacentral:rRNA from 1 species